rnacentral:rRNA from 1 species
UACAGGGGGUGCAAACGUUGCUCGGAAUUAUUGGGCGUAAAGCGCGCGUAGGCGGCUACUUAAGUCGGAUGUGAAAGCCCUUGGCUCAACUGAGGAAGUGCACCCGAAACUGAGUGGCUAGAGUACGAAAGAGGGUCGCGGAAUUCCCGGUGUAGAGGUGAAAUUCGUAGAUAUCGGGAGGAACACCGGUGGCGAAGGCGGCGACCUGGGUCGAUACUGACGCUGAUGCGCGAAAGCGUGGGGAGCAAACAGGGAUUAGAAACCC